rnacentral:rRNA from 1 species
GGGCUGCAGGCGCGAAACCUCUACAAUGCACGAAAGUGUGAUAGGGGAAUCCCGAGUGCGUGCACACAGUGUACGCUUUUGCCAAAUGUAAAUAGUUUGGCGAAUAAGUGGUGGGAAAGACUGGUGCCAGCAGCCGCGGUAACACCAGCGCCACAAGUGGCAACCGUUUAUUUGGCCUAAAGCGUCCGUAGCUGGCCUGUCAAAUCCUUUGUGAAAUUGUUGCGCUCAACGUAACAGCGAGCAGGGGACACUUACAGGCUCGAGACCGGGAGGAGUCAGAAGUAUAUUUGGGGGAGCGGUAAAAUGCUAUAAUCCCAGAUGGACUGCCUGUGGCGAAGGCGUCUGACUAGAACGGUUCUGACAGUGAGGGACGAAAGCUAGGGGAGCAAACCGGAUUAGAUACCCCGGUAGUC